rnacentral:rRNA from 1 species
GAUGAACGCUGGCGGCGUGCCUAAUACAUGCAAGUCGAGCGAACGGACGAGAAGCUUGCUUCUCUGAUGUUAGCGGCGGACGGGUGAGUAACACGUGGAUAACCUACCUAUAAGACUGGGAUAACUUCGGGAAACCGGAGCUAAUACCGGAUAAUAUUUUGAACCGCAUGGUUCAAAAGUGAAAGACGGUCUUGCUGUCACUUAUAGAUGGAUCCGCGCUGCAUUAGCUAGUUGGUGAGGUAACGGCUUACCAAGGCAACGAUGCAUAGCCGACCUGAGAGGGUGAUCGGCCACACUGGAACUGAGACACGGUCCAGACUCCUACGGGAGGCAGCAGUAGGGAAUCUUCCGCAAUGGGCGAAAGCCUGACGGAGCAACGCCGCGUGAGUGAUGAAGGUCUUCGGAUCGUAAAACUCUGUUAUUAGGGAAGAACAAAUGUGUAAGUAACUAUGCACGUCUUGGCGGUACCUAAUCAGAAAGCCACGGCUAACUACGUGCCAGCAGCCGCGGUAAUACGUAGGUGGCAAGCGUUAUCCGGAAUUAUUGGGCGUAAAGCGCGCGUAGGCGGUUUUUUAAGUCUGAUGUGAAAGCCCACGGCUCAACCGUGGAGGGUCAUUGGAAACUGGAAAACUUGAGUGCAGAAGAGGAAAGUGGAAUUCCAUGUGUAGCGGUGAAAUGCGCAGAGAUAUGGAGGAACACCAGUGGCGAAGGCGACUUUCUGGUCUGUAACUGACGCUGAUGUGCGAAAGCGUGGGGAUCAAACAGGAUUAGAUACCCUGGUAGUCCACGCCGUAAACGAUGAGUGCUAAGUGUUAGGGGGUUUCCGCCCCUUAGUGCUGCAGCUAACGCAUUAAGCACUCCGCCUGGGGAGUACGACCGCAAGGUUGAAACUCAAAGGAAUUGACGGGGACCCGCACAAGCGGUGGAGCAUGUGGUUUAAUUCGAAGCAACGCGAAGAACCUUACCAAAUCUUGACAUCCUCUGACCCCUCUAGAGAUAGAGUUUUCCCCUUCGGGGGGACAGAGUGACAGGUGGUGCAUGGUUGUCGUCAGCUCGUGUCGUGAGAUGUUGGGUUAAGUCCCGCAACGAGCGCAACCCUUAAGCUUAGUUGCCAUCAUUAAGUUGGGCACUCUAAGUUGACUGCCGGUGACAAACCGGAGGAAGGUGGGGAUGACGUCAAAUCAUCAUGCCCCUUAUGAUUUGGGCUACACACGUGCUACAAUGGACAAUACAAAGGGCAGCGAAACCGCGAGGUCAAGCAAAUCCCAUAAAGUUGUUCUCAGUUCGGAUUGUAGUCUGCAACUCGACUACAUGAAGCUGGAAUCGCUAGUAAUCGUAGAUCAGCAUGCUACGGUGAAUACGUUCCCGGGUCU